rnacentral:rRNA from 1 species
UAGGGCGGUACCUUGACGGUACCUAACCAGAAAGCCACGGCUAACUACGUGCCAGCAGCCGCGGUAAUACGUAGGUGGCAAGCGUUGUCCGGAAUUAUUGGGCGUAAAGGGCUCGCAGGCGGUUUCUUAAGUCUGAUGUGAAAGCCCCCGGCUCAACCGGGGAGGGUCAUUGGAAACUGGGGAACUUGAGUGCAGAAGAGGAGAGUGGAAUUCCACGUGUAGCGGUGAAAUGCGUAGAGAUGUGGAGGAACACCAGUGGCGAAGGCGACUCUCUGGUCUGUAACUGACGCUGAGGAGCGAAAGCGUGGGGAGCGAACAGGAUUAGAUACCCUGGUAGUCCACGCCGUAAACGAUGAGUGCUAAGUGUUAGGGGGUUUCCGCCCCUUAGUGCUGCAGCUAACGCAUUAAGCACUCCGCCUGGGGAGUACGGUCGCAAGACUGAAACUCAAAGGAAUUGACGGGGGCCCGCACAAGCGGUGGAGCAUGUGGUUUAAUUCGAAGCAACGCGAAGAACCUUACCAGGUCUUGACAUCCUCUGACAAUCCUAGAGAUAGGACGUCCCCUUCGGGGGCAGAGUGACAGGUGGUGCAUGGUUGUCGUCAGCUCGUGUCGUGAGAUGUUGGGUUAAGUCCCGCAACGAGCGCAACCCUUGAUCUUAGUUGCCAGCAUUCAGUUGGGCACUCUAAGGUGACUGCCGGUGACAAACCGGAGGAAGGUGGGGAUGACGUCAAAUCAUCAUGCCC